UACGUAGGGGGCAAGCGUUGUCCGGAUUUACUGGGCGUAAAGAGCGUGUAGGCGGCCACGCAGGUCCGUUGUGAAAACUGGAGGCUCAACCUCCAGCUGUCGACGGAAACCGUGUGGCUAGAGUCCGGAAGAGGAGAGUGGAAUUCCUGGUGUAGCGGUGAAAUGCGCAGAUAUCAGGAAGAACACCAAUGGCGAAGGCAGCUCUCUGGGACGGUACUGACGCUGAGACGCGAAAAGCGUGGGGGAGCGAAACAGG
rnacentral:rRNA from 1 species